GGGGGGGGGAGGUAGGGAUCAUCUUUUCAUGCCUCAACGAUGGAGUUCUGCUGGCUGAGCUCAUAGCAGCAUCUGCAGUGGAAACAGUUAAUAUUUGUGUUUAAAAAAAAAAAAACAACACAUGAACAUGAGACUAAGGUAGAACGUUUAAAAAUAACUGUUCUUGAUGUUGCUACAGAGACCUUUAUUAUAGCCAUAGUACGUGAUGUGCAUUGAUUACAUUCCACAUAAGUAGCGUUUUCUCGCUCAGACUAGUAGGAACUGACAGUACUCCCACUUGUAUGAGACAGUAUGAAGAAGCAUGCAGGCUGUGGCAGAAAGGAGGUGUGCUUGGCUUUUCAACUCUUAAAAACUAUUAAGAGAGCUAUCAUUUACAUGAAAACCAGAAGCCAGGGAAGCAGAUGCAGCACGAAGGAGCAUACGUGUGACAAAUCUCACUUGUGUCUGAAUUAAAGAGCAGUUCCUGGACUUAAAAUGCAAUGGCAGGCUGCAAAUAAAGGAAAUCUUCCAUUUGCCUUGGAUACUGAACCAGACCAGACAGCUGUAGUGCUCUCUCGAUGGUAGAACCCUCAGGACAGUUGAAAGGAAGGGAUGUACCACAGCAAUCUGUCAUCAGUGCAACUUCCAGCAAUCUUUGUAGCUAACAGAUCACAGUGGAUUUUCUUUCUCCUCAUGAAUUUACCUAAUCACUUUCUAAAUCCUGUUUCAUGCAGUACUGUGAGAAUGAUAAUCUAAUUUUGGUCUCUAAGACAUGAAAUACAAAAACAAUAGGAGGCCCAGGAAAGAAUGAAGCCAUUUUGCCAACAGAUAUUACAAAAACAUGCAACAAUUAUAGCACAUUGACGAAGAAAAUUACUAAAACCGCUAAUUACAAAAUAACCCAGCAUUUCCUGCUGUGAAAAUGAAUUUGUUAUUUAGACCACUUCACUGUUUUUGAUAAAUCACCACCUGUAAUUGCUUUUCUAAGCUCGUGAUAGGGGUAUUUCUCUAUUUGGUGCCAUGAUGUCAAAUUGAAAGAGUACCUUUUCGACUGGUCGCAUUGUCUAGGGUUAAAUAGAAAACCUUUCCAAACUCUUCUUCACUCCAAGAUUUUUGUAUCAGUCAUGGAUGAGAAGAAAAAAGACAAAUGUCACCACUCUUUGCCUAGCUGUGAGAAAUUCACUGCCUGUGAAGUUAUGCUACUUGUUCUCUGCUACAAUACUAACUUUCAUGUAUUUUGCAAUCCCUGUCUAUCUCUGUUGUAAUUUCUUGCAAAGUGUUGAAAAUGUAAAGCUCUACACUCACAAUUGCCCCACAAUCUGAUUUACAAACUAAAAGAAUAUACCUGGGCUUUUCUGAGUAUUUUUCUUGCUUACAUAUAGGUGAGAUAUUCCCUUUAACAAAUAAUCCUCAUAUUAAAAAAAAAACAAGAACCAACCACGCAUACCAGGUCUAACUUAUGCAUGUGCAGCAUCCUAUUUAAUAAUUUACAGCUGUGCAAAGAACAAGCAGGUGAGUGUAUUCCAUACAGCUGCACAAAGCUCUGCGUAACCAGAGCGGAAACGGAAUGACUGCACGCACCUUUCUAUUUAUCCAGACCUCUAGAAAACGCAAACAGCAAAUUCUAAAGUGAAGCCAAAGCCAUGCAUGCCUCGAGGCCCUUUCCAGAUGGUAUGAAGACGAGCCCUUUUCCCUCCCUUUUACAUGACGUGAUUUUGCUUCCUCUCGGAUCAUCUCAGCCCUACUUACCGUUACACAACGUUUUUUGCACCCACGUUAACGUUAUUUGCUGCUAAUUCUGAUAUUCUGUCGUCAUCAGUGAAAAUGCUGAAACCCUCCCAGUUCUUGUUCAUGACGUGUCUCCGAGAUUACACAGCCCUCGAUAAAAAUGUCCCUGGGAAAGGAUAAAAGCGAUUACUGAGCUCAGUGCUUCAGACCCUUAAGCUGCCACCAGGUGCAUCAAAUGUGCCAGUUUUUCUCUUCUGCUUGCUUAACAGAGGAAAAAGCUCAAAUGAACGUUUAUCUGAUGUUCCUCCUGACCCCAAACUAAAGCUGUUAUUGCCUCUCUGAAUAUAUUAUUCCAUUCCUGUAAAGCCAUUUAGUUGCAAAUUCAACAUUUUCUUAUUGCAUAUGCCCACAUUAGCCAUGGUAAAGGCCUGUAACAGGGCAGAUGCAGUUCUGUCCCAAUGACCUCUCUGGUAUUUCUAUAGAAAUGCUCUGUUAAACACCCAGGCAUUUCAACUUCCAGUCACAAGACCUAUAAAAAAUUCAUACACCGAAUCUCUGGUUUCAAACCACAGCUCUGCAUCAUUAAGAGCUUUUCAAUCCUCCCACCCCACAGACGUUAUGAAGAAGGGGGGAGGGCGGCUCUACCUUCCCAGUGCUUAACCCUCACAUCUUCUGCUCCUCCUGCCUGCAAUUUUAACCAGCUCUGGGUGGAGGCUGGCAAACACGUGUGAGCUGCAGAGCACACAACCAGGCUGAUAUCCCAUCACCCCCAACAGAGCUUAAGAACGUGUUCGCAUUUUGAGAUCUGCCCCAAACUUCUCAGCGGGAAGCAGCAAAGGGGCUUCUAAGGAACCCCGGCACCUCCGUGCAUCUCUUGCUCUUUCCAGAGGGCUUUCACUCAGAACCCACCAGCCGGCUCCUCGUCUCCGAACGCCGCCCCUCGCUGACAGCCCCGUCCCGUC
ensembl:lncRNA